rnacentral:lncRNA from 1 species
GGGACUGGAUAGUUAUUCACUUGUAAGAGACAGAGAGGACUUCGCAGACUGCAUGCCUGGCCACCUCUGCCCAUCACCCUUCAGCUCCUCUCCAAGGGGAGGGUACCCAUGGGCUCCUCUGGAGUGUUGGACACCCCCUGGGCCAUGCGCCCUAGCGGGAGGGAUCAGUGUGCAACAAAGUCCACAGCUCCUGCUCGGCCUCAUCUAAAGUCCUGCCUGAGUUCUCGAAUGUUCCCUCACAUAAUGGUCAUUGGCUUGGUCCUGGAUGGAGUUGGAUUUUGAUUCAUGGAAGCUCGUUUUAGAAUAGAGCUUAAACUAAGUGCUCUGAUCUAAUUCUUUUCUUUUCUUUUUUCUUUUUGCAGGAGAGUUCUACAUUGGUGAUUAUUAGGUUCAACUACUAGUAAAGAAGGGUUUCAUUCUGAGAUAAACGCUACCCCUUUGAUAUGGCUCCCUAAGGAACUUGGGGAUGGGGGGAUGGGAAAGGAAUGUGUAAAGAGAUGGUCCAUCAGGGACAGGAUCCAGGUGUUCCUGCACCCCUGGUCUCCACAGCAUCAAAAAGAUGGACAAAGUUCCAACCCACGCUAAUUCCUACUUAACGUUAAACAAAUCUUUUGAAAAUCUCCAUCUUUGUCCAUGGGUGGGGCAGCCUGCUCUGAUGUUCUAAGAUCCUGAAAAUCCCCUAUCUCAGUUGGAACCAACAUUGGGUCCACAAUUCCCAUCCUCUCCAUAGCUCAUGGUUUCCUCUCCCGAGAUGUGACUACCAGGGGUGGCUCCAUGGGGACAGCCCACUGGGGGGACUUCAGCCUCUACCAUCUCCCAAUUUCCAUCAGCUCACCCAUUCUUUAAUACGGGCACUGGACACAAUCAUCUCCAAGUCCUCCCUCCUACCAGAGUCCCAUCUCCAACUUCCUCCUGGGUGAAAACUCUGGAACUCCCUCUGCUGAGUAGCAUGAACACUUCCUAAAAUAGCU